CCUACGGGUGACAGCAGUGAGGAAUAUUGGUCAAUGGACGAGAGUCUGAACCAGCCAAGUAGCGUGAAGGAUGACUGCCCUAUGGGUUGUAAACUUCUUUUAUAAAGGAAUAAAACGAGGCACGUGUGCCUUUUUGCAUGUACUUUAUGAAUAAGGAUCGGCUAACUCCGUGCCAGCAGCCGCGGUAAUACGGAGGAUCCGAGCGUUAUCCGGAUUUAUUGGGUUUAAAGGGAGCGUAGAUGGGUUGUUAAGUCAGUUGUGAAAGUUUGCGGCUCAACCGUAAAAUUGCAAUUGAUACUGGCAGUCUUGAGUACAGUUGAGGUAGGCGGAAUUCGUGGUGUAGCGGUGAAAUGCUUAGAUAUCACGAAGAACCCCGAUUGCGAAGGCAGCUUACUAAACUGUGACUGACGCUGAAGCUCGAAAGCGCGGGUAUCGAACAGGAUUAGAUACCCGAGUAGUC
rnacentral:rRNA from 1 species